rnacentral:rRNA from 1 species
GUACGGGAGGCAGCAGCGAGGAAUAUUGCGCAAUGGGCGAAAGCCUGACGCAGUAACGCCGCGUGAGGGAAGAAGGCCUUCGGGUCGUAAACCUCUUUUCGGAGGGACGAGUGAGGACGGUACCUCUGGAAUAAGUCUCGGCUAACUACGUGCCAGCAGCCGCGGUAAGACGUAGGAGGCGAGCGUUAUCCGGAUUCACUGGGCGUAAAGCGCGUGUAGGCGGCUCGUCAAGUCGGUUGUGAAAGCCCCUGGCUCAACUGGGGGAGGUCAGCCGAGACUGUCGGGCUGGAGGCUCAGAGAGGAAGGUGGAAUUCCCGGUGUAGCGGUGGAAUGCGUAGAGAUCGGGAGGAACACCAGUGGCGAAGGCGGCCUUCUGGCUGAGGCCUGACGCUGAGACGCGAAAGCGUGGGUAGCAAACGGGAUUAGAUACCCCGGU